UUCUACUAACUGACUCUACCCAAAAUUGCUUCUGACUCCGACUUCAUGAUUCCAACUCCUAUUCUACAGCCCUGAUGGAAAGCAUUAGUGCACAGCAUUAAUGAGCAAGUCCAACCAAGGGAUGUUUCCUUUAUUUCCUAGUUGGCUACUGUGCAGUUGGAGGAGGCACAAUUAUACAAUGGUGUUUUGUUGUUGCUGCUGUUGUUCAGUUAAUUAAAUUACUGUUGUGAAAUUGCAUGUCUCAUUUUAGCAAUUGAUGCCCUAUUUUAUCUUUACUUGUUGAGAUUAUUUCACUGACACUGCCAGAUCCUACCACACUGUUUUACUGAUGUGGGUCUCCUAGGUGUCCAAUGACAGGAAAAGCAAUUGAUUGUUGUUGAUAAUUGGCUGGAUGAACUUUAUAUCCUGGCAAAUUCAAAUAGGGCUGAGAGAGGCAGCCUCAGAAUACUUUUUGCUCAUAAUACUAAAAGAUUAUUCUUACAGUGAUAUGCCACACAUAUUUGGGAACCAGGGUUCCAUCAGUGAAGGUAUAUACUGUACUUUAUCAAGGAAUAUGAUAUACGGAUUGGCCUAAAAAAGUAUAUGAUCUCACAAUAUAGCUCUUUCGGUUUUGCCAUUUGUUGUCACCUCCUCAUUCUCUUGUUCCAUUCUUUAGAGGGGUUGUUUGCACUAGUUUUGUUUGUUUUGUUUUGAUCUGCAAAUUGGAGUAUGGUUUGCUGAGGAGUUCCUGUAGUUUGAAAGGGAAAUUUUCUCUUCUCUGAUUUUUUAAAUUUAUUUUUAAAGGACUGAUGGAAUUAUAGUACAAAACUAAAAGUUUUUUUAAAAAAAAAGAGAAAAAGAUUUCUUUUUAAUCUGAGUACAAAAGUCCCCAAAAUUAUAACUAUUGCAACCUCUCAACACAUUGCCCCAUCUGGAGGAGCCCAGUAUUUCUUAACUUCAUUCAAGGCUUUGGUAGGAUUUAAAAAAAAAAUUUAAUUAUCCCAAAAGAUAGAAGAAAGAGAAGACAUAUGGAUAUUUUUUUAAAUGAAAGAAAUGUCAUUUCAAAAGGGCCAUGAUUUCAAAGAAUCUGUUCCUGUGAGUUGCCCAUCUAAGCAGCUAAAGAAGAAACCUUUGAAGAUUUUCACACAUUGAAAGACUCAUACUGGAAGAGGCACUUUCCCAGAUACUAUUUAUUGGGUUUAUAUGGAUUGAUUCUCUGCUUAAACCUGCUUAAGGUGAUAUACACAAACCAAUUAAAAUCACUAUCAUCUGGGACCAAGACAUUUGUGUCCAACAACAUAAUCUUGAAUUUCUUUUAGAACCCAGACAGUAGCCAAUAAAGUGCUUAUCAGUACAGGGGUUAUAGGUUAAGACUGACAUCUAUUGCACAACAAUUGUACCACUACAUUUAAUCCAGUUGUCAUUUCUAAAUCAUCUUCAAGGUUAUGUUCCAAAUAGAAUGUAUUACAAUAAUCUAAUCUCAAAGUCAUCAGACAAGACAUUAUUUUAUGAUGAUGGCAGCAUAUGGGUCCUCAGCUUCCAGAAAAGAGCACUCCUGAUUGGAUUUGACAAAAUUUCAUUAUUUUUUUUAAUUCACACAUUUUCCAGUGAGAUGAUGCAAUUUUGCUUCAAAGCUGUAAAAUAUAAGUGCAUGUAAAAUACACAUUCUGAAGAUGCUUGUUUCUGUCUUUGCAUGGGUGUUAAUGUCUAUUCCUUUUAUUAUAUAUCUCUUUAGUAAGUUCUUUUAAGGGCCCAGACUCAAUACAAGGGCCAAUAUUUUCCAGACAAAAGUAUAUUGCUUAAAGAUAGAUGUAAAAGCAUUUUGCUUUUCAGUAACUGUAUGUAUAGUCCUUCAGUCAAUAAAUUUUAGCAACGAUGCUAUUAUGGCAUUUUUCUAUACAUUAAAAUUAUAAUAUUGAUCUGAACCUUGCUUAGACUUUCCUCCCAAGUACCUAGUUACAGUUGAAGUCAGCUCCAGGUUGCAAAGAAGAAAGCUGCAGUGAGAUCUUUCUAUCAUGUGAGUAAAUAUAUGAUUCUUUAUGUUGCUCCUUGCCCAUCCAUGCAUCACACUGAAGAGGAAGGUAACAGGUUCUAUCUAAACUGGUUUCUCAUUUACAAAAUAAAAUAUUAAGGCUGCUUAUCCUAAAUAUACUCACAGGAAGAAAAUUUCAGUGGUCCUUUCUGCAAACUAAAGCAACUCAGAAUUAGAUCAGGGGUUUGUCUACACAAUUAAAAUACUCGCCAUUCCAUUUGAAUAGAUUAUGACCCCUCCAUUUGCAAUUCAGAGAAAUUCAGGCUAAAGGGGGCAAAAACCUCAAAUUCUGCAGAAAAAAGAAUCAUGUUUUUUACGAAGGAUACACAUUACUGAACAUGUGGCCAUGUAUCCACUUAGCAAGGAUUCACAUGCCUGUGCAUUUUAGGCAAAGGGAAAAUAAGUAGAUGUAAAUUUGCACAGGAAAAGUGAAGAUGUGUCAAUGUACAUGUAGAAAAAUCUGCAACAAUUUGCAUUAUGUGUAUACUAGCUCCAGGUGUGGGCAACAUCAAUGGAUCUGGAGGCCAGUUUCCUGUCCCAAAACCUGCAAUGGGCUGUGCUUAUGAAAUUCAGUGGGACAAUAUUAAAACACUUAAUAAUUAGCAUUUCUUGAUUGGAUUAAAAGGGUUUUCCAGGUGUUCAACUAAAUUAGAGAGGUAGAGUUUUGGGAAAGCCUGGGAAACAGAAAAAAGGGCUUUGGGGACUGUUAUCAGGUUGGAUGUUGUCCACCCUGAGUUAGACUGAAUCUCAGAUUGUAUGUUUUCCAUUUAUGGAUAGACUUUCAUUCACAUUUGAACUGACAUAUUUGUUUCCUGUCAAAUCUGUUGAGUAGUCUUUGGAAUUGUGUUAUCAAAAUACCAAGAAUAUUUUUCAUGUUGUCUUCUCUUGUCUUACUAGUAUAAUGUUCUGUUUUAGUAAUGAUUUCUGGUGAUUUGUCUUGGUCUUUUCUACCUAUUCCCCCUGCCUUCUUGCUUUGGUUAAUUUUAUUUUUUGUUUAUUAAGUGUCAUAUUAUGGUAUUUGGUCACAACUGCAACAUGUGGAUUUCACCAGCAGCUUGCAGAAAAGUAUCUUACAGGGAAAAUGGGAGCAGCUUGCCUCUGAAAUUAUGCUGUUACUAUGAACUCCUGUAGAAUAUCACUGAAGACCAACAAUAAUACUACAGCACAGUUUGCAAAUAUUAAAGCUUUAUGUUUAUUUCACCAUUGCUGACAUAAAAACUGACACCUUAAUUCUAUUCCCUAUAACAUAUCACAGGUGAAAACCGGAAUACGUGUGGCCAAGCAACAACAGGGUGUGGUCAGCAUGACAACAAUGAUGCAAGAAUCAGGGGAGGAUUCUGCUGGUCACAGUCAGCUUGGUCACCAGGCAAGGAGAUAUUCAUCCUAGGUGCAGGUCACACCACUCCUGGCUAUUUUGUCAGCAGUUUCCUGUAUCUACCCACUUGGUUUGCGAAGUAUACCAGAAUAAAAAGAGAGCGGUGUCAGAAGAAUCCCUUCAUGCUCUACAGUGUAUCAGCUGUGAUGGCAACACUCUACACAUGUGAAGUCUGAGUAGUGGGUAGUGAUGAUCUGGUUUCCACUCUGCAAAUUCUUGACUGAUAAAUCUAUAUAAUGGAUGAAUGAACCCAAGGUGCUCAUUAGUGUUUAAACAUUUCACUAAUUAUAUUCAGCCACUAACCGUAUCUUAAAGGUUAAAUAUAUCUUCAAAACUCUCUCAUAUAAGAAAAUCAGCCUUAGAAUUAACUAUGAUUUAUUGUUUGUUAUAGAUGACAAACUGCCAGGAGGCAGAAAGAUAAUUAACUCAGAUAUAAUGAUUCCAUGACCAAUAAUACUUCAGAUAUUGCAUAUUGCAUCUGUACAUAUUAUGUUAAAAAAAAAAGCAAGAGAAUUGUUAGAAUUAUUAAGUCAUACAAAAUCAGGAGGUAAUCUGCAGCAAGUUUCAUUAGCUACAUUUUGCUUAAUACUUAUAUACUUGGCCAAAUACAUCUCAAAAUAAUCUUAAUUUUUGAUUGAUCAAUUCACUUUUACUAAAUGUUUGCAACAAGAAUUUCGCCAUUGUUCUCGUGAGAAUAAUUACUCAUUGUCAGGCUCAUAUCAAAAGAAUACAUUGAAGGAGUGCUGCCCACAGAUAAAUAAGUUCCAACAAAAUUAAUGAGACUGACAUGCAAAUUUAUGGUUAUACAUCAUUGAUUUCAAUGGGAAUGUGCCUUAUUCUCUCUGAAUUGUACCUUGGAUGUAUUGGAUUUACAGUAUAAUUCUACUUAUGUCUACUCAGAAGAAACAUUCACUGUAUUCAUUGUGAUUUAAUCCUAGGUAAAUGGGCAUAUGAUUGCAGCCUACCGUAAAUGAGUAAAUACCUUAGUUAUAAAUGUGAAGUAUAAAUUAACAGCAUACACUAGUCUGUUAUUUACUUUUCUUACAAACAAAUAAAUCUUUGUUUAAUGUUUAUCUUUUUGACUCACCUCCUAGAAUUUAUCCCUAGAAAGAAAAAGACAGAAAAGGAUAUAAUUGAAUAAUAAGAAUUAUUGUUAACUUUAUUUAUACCUUGCCUCUUUACCAAAACCAGAGCUCAAGGUGUCCUAUAAAUUAAAACAAGUACAAUAUUAUUAAAAUAUAUCCCAAAAAAAGAGGCUGGGAAGAGAAUUAAACUAUUAAAAAUGCUUAAAAAUGGUUUAAAGCAAACAAUUAAAAAUAUUAAAAAGCAGUUUAAAAACUAGUACAAUUAGAAUAUUAUAAUAUGCUUUGAAAUGUCCUUUCUUUUCAAAGCAUCUUUUAGGACAUAUAUUAUAGACUUAGAACAAAUAAUAAAACAAAAUAAAUGACUGUAUUUGUGGGAGUAUUCUUCUCAUGGAUUUUAAUUUUAUUGGCAGGGGGAAGCCACAAUAAGAAUGUAAAACCAAGAUCAUUAAGAAAGUAAAACACCAGAGAUUCCUGGGGCAUAUUUAAGACUAAGAGGUUCAUUGUAACAUCAGCUUUGGUAGACUGCAGCCCAUAUUAUCGGAUUCAUUGGUUUUAUAUUCAUGUGUUUUUUUUUUCUAGAAUGUGUGGCCUACAGGCCACAUGCAAACCACAAGGGCACAUUUUUCAGCUCCCAGUCCCCCAAUUUGUUUUUAAAUACAACAAACUGAGCUCCCACAGAAACAUAUAAGGUUGAUUCCCUUGCCCUCCAGUACUUCAACCCCUCCAAAAGGUGGAAAUUGCCCAUAUCUUGGUUGCUUCCUGGAACAAAUGACAUGACAUCACUUUGAGAUGUGCCACAAACAGCUGUGUGACCUCCAGAUGGAGGCAGGGAGAAAUGGCUCCCACCCAUUGUACAACUGCCUACCCCUGCUCUAUAUACAUAAUGGACAUAAUUGUGGUUGGAUAAUCACCAGUUAUAAUUCUUAAUAUUUCAUGGCUAUACCUAUAGAAUGACUAGUGGAAGGUACAGGUUGAGUCUCCCUUAUCUGGAAUUCCAAAAUCCAAAAUAUUCCAAA